UCCUCCUCCUCCGCCGCGCUGUCGGUGGAAUUCUGCGCCCGCAGGAAGCCCACGUCGGUCACCGGCGUGUCCACGCUGGGUCGCCGGGCGUGCUCCCGCUCAUCGGGGCAGUAGAGAGCUGGGUCGCUGCAGUAGAUGUCUCCCUUGUACGGGGGCCGCGGGCCCGACUUCUCCACUCCGUCGCGGUAGCCCAGGUCGCGGGCCGAGGCAUCCGACAUGCGCGAGGACAGGCUGCCCGGGUCCGGCUUCUCCAGCACUUUGGCGAUGACGCAGGUGGGCACGCUGUCGGCGUAGGACGGAUGGCACAGUGCGGACGGCAGGCUGCAGCCAUGCUUCUCCAUGUGCAGGCUCACGCGCUGCUGGAAGUCCGAGGGCAGCUGGAACGGGCGUGAGGAGGAGAGGAGAAUGGGGACAGGUCAUAGCAAAGGGACCCAGCCCUGGCCCCGAAGCCAGGGCCAUACCAGCAUCG
ensembl:antisense